rnacentral:rRNA from 1 species
UAAGAGCUCACCAAGGCGACGAUCUCUAGCUGGUCUGAGAGGAUGAUCAGCCACACUGGAACUGAGACACGGUCCAGACUCCUACGGGAGGCAGCAUUGGGGAAUAUUGCACAAUGGGCGAAAGCCUGAUGCAGCCAUGCCGCGUGUAUGAAGAAGGCCUUCGGGUUGUAAAGUACUUUCAGUAGGGAGGAAGGUUCAUACGUUAAUAGCGUCUGCAUUUGACGUUACCUACAGAAGAAGCACCGGCUAACUCCGUGCCAGCAGCCGCGGUAAUACGGAGGGUGCGAGCGUUAAUCGGAAUUACUGGGCGUAAAGCGCAUGCAGGUGGUUCAUUAAGUCAGAUGUGAAAGCCCGGGGCUCAACCUCGGAACCGCAUUUGAAACUGGUGAACUAGAGUGCUGUAGAGGGGGGUAGAAUUUCAGGUGU